rnacentral:ncRNA from 2 species
GUGAUGCAUUUCGAGUGGACGUCUUGCGUCCAGCCAACCUGCCUUACCGGGCAAGGUGGAGUCCCCACGGGGAGAUGCGGCCUUCGGCAACGAAACGGCGCCUG